rnacentral:rRNA from 1 species
UACGUAGGGCGCAAGCGUUGUCCGGAAUUAUUGGGCGUAAAGAGCUCGUAGGCGGUUUGUCGCGUCUGCUGUGAAAUCCCGAGGCUCAACCUCGGGCUUGCAGUGGGUACGGGCAGACUAGAGUGCGGUAGGGGAGACUGGAAUUCCUGGUGUAGCGGUGAAAUGCGCAGAUAUCAGGAGGAACACCGGUGGGCGAAGGCGGGUCUCUGGGCCGAUACUGACGCUGGAG